rnacentral:rRNA from 1 species
GACGAACCGAGCGAACGUUGUUCGGAAUCACUGGGCUUAAAGGGCGCGUAGGCGGGUGCUCAAGUCCGUGGUGAAAUCCUCCGGCCACCACGGAGAACUGCCUCGGAUACUGGGUGCCUCGAGGGUGGUAGGGGUAUGCGGAACUAUCGGUGGAGCGGUGAAAUGCGUUGAUAUCGAUAGGAACUCCGGUGGCGAAGGCGGCAUACUGGACCACCUCUGACGCUGAGGCGCGAAAGCCAGGGGAGCAAACGGG